UACGGAGGGUGCAAGCGUUAGUCGGAAUUACUGGGCGUAAAGGGUGCGUAGGCGGGGAUAUAAGUCAGACGUGAAAUUCCGAGGCUCAACCUCGGAGCUGCAUCUGAAACUAUAUUUCUUGCGGGAUGGCGGAGAAAACGGAAUUCCACGUGUAGCGGUGAAAUGCGUAGAUAUGUGGAAGAACACCUGUGGCGAAAGCGGUUUUCUAGCCUCCCCCGGACGCUGAGGCACUAAAGCAAGGGGAGCAAACAGG
rnacentral:rRNA from 1 species